rnacentral:rRNA from 1 species
CCUACGAGGUGCAGCAGUGCGGAAUAUUGGUCAAUGGACGCAAGUCUGAACCAGCCAUGCCGCGUGAAGGAAGACGGCUCUAUGAGUUGUAAACUGCUUUUGUACGAGAGUAAAUCCCGAUACGUGUAUCUGGUUGAACGUAUCUUACGAAUAAGGAUCGGCUAACUCCGUGCCAGCAGCCGCGGUAAUACGGAGGAUUCAAGCGUUAUCCGGAUUUAUUGGGUUUAAAGGGUGCGUAGGCGGUUCGAUAAGUUAGAGGUGCAAGCCCGGGGCUCAACUCCGGCACUGCCAUGGAUACUGUCAGGCUAGAGUAGAGUUGCGGUAGGCGGAAUGUAUGGUGUAGCGGUGAAAUGCAUAGAGAUCAUACAGAACACCGAUUGCGAAGGCAGCUUACCAAACUACGACUGACGUUGAGGCACGAAAGCGUGGAGAGCAAACAGGAUUAGAUACCCCUGUAGUC